UAUCAGCAGCAUCUCAGACAACACUUCAACAACACUGUCUGUUUAGCUUCAGCAGGAAGAUGAUUCUGAGUUAUUGUAUAUUAAUGAUACUGAUUUCAUAUUCUUAUGGACAGUCUCUGACCUCCUCUGAGUCAGUGGUGGAGAAACCUGGGAAAUCGGUCACUCUGUCCUGUUCUGUGUCUGGUUUCUCAGUGAGCAGCUACUACAUGAGCUGGAUCCGUCAGAAACCUGGAAAAGGACUGGAGUGGAUUGGUUACAUUGAUUAUGGCUCUAGCACUUACUUUGCCCAGUCACUACAGGGCCAGUUCUCCAUCACUAAAGACACCAGUAAAAACAUGCUGUACCUGCAGGUGAAGAGCCUGAAAGCUGAAGACACGGCUGUUUAUUACUGUGCAGCGGGGUCACACUGAUACAAAAAGGCUACAGACUCAUAUAAAAACCUGCUCAAGCUCAUCUUCUGUUGGCCAGAUGUGACAGAGCUGUA